rnacentral:lncRNA from 1 species
UUUUUUUUUUUUUUUUAAAUUAGAAGGUAAGUCUACAUAUAUUACGUACAUGGGGGGACAUAUAUACUUGCCUCCCCAUGCCGCUAAAGUUAUAUUUGCUUAAGAGCAACAAAAACACGUCUAUUUCCAUAGCACGUUUAUUUCAAAGAGACAGAUAACAUCACAUGACAAAUAUGCAUCAUUAUCAUACAAUGGGACGCAACUCUCACGACUUAACUACAAAACACAUACGACCAUACAAUACAGAUACAUAACAUCCCGCCCCCAAAAAGAAAAUUUCCCAAAUUUUAUAAAAUGGUGUAUGUGUUUUUUCCAUAUACAAUUUACAGAAAAAGAGAAAAUAUAAUAUAAAUUCAAACUUCAUAAUCACUUCCGUAUAAGACUAAAAUCAGUUUCCAAAUAUUCAUGUAAAUACAUUUAUAAUAACUGAAAUACUCGUGGCUGACCAGUUCUCACAACUAGCAUCCAUUGGCAUACACACCAGUAUCAACAAUGCAGAAAAAUCCGAACGUCUGGCAUCUCGAUCUCCCCCUUAGGACCUUAUGCACGCAUUACGUUCAUUCAACAACACAAAAAAAAUAUGCAUUUGAUACAUUUACUCAAUCUACUAAAUGGAAAGUACUAGAAUAUUGUCAUAAAUGUAGCUGUAUACAUCAAAUUGAUAGAUAAUCAUCAGAGACCUUUAACUCUUAAAAAUAGUAAAUAUUACAUCAAUGAAACACUUCAUAAGUUACAUAUGCAGUCAAAAGAAAAUACGACUAAUUCUCCCUCUCUCUCUAACAUGGCCAAUCUCUCAUACUACGCACUCACAAAAUAAAAUAAAGAUGAAACAAAUGAAAAGCUCCAGAAAUGUCAAUAUCAACCUAGGUUUUAUUUAUGACUAUUAUCUCACCGCUACUGACAAUCCGCUAUCAAAUCAGUCCAACUGUUAACAGAAAUAUAUGUAUUUAUAAUAAAAUAAAAAACACAAAUUAAAAAAAUCCUUUAAACAAAAUUGAAUUCAUAAUUAAAGUCGGUGUUUUCCUUUUAACUGGGUAGCGUACGACGAGAUAAAUCUCACACGUACCGUCUGUAGUAUAAUUUAAAUACUUCAAAACUGCAACACAUUUCCCCUGCUAAAUCCUAAAUACACAUAUAAGUCAAGCUGAUUAGUUAGUAAAGAUAACGCCAAUCACUUUAGCAAUUAUUUUCGAAGUACUGUAAGAUGAUAGGACGGGACGUCACAUGACACAUGCUACAGUUUUCUGCACACAUAAACAUACACAGCUGCCCUCCUUAAUUAUGUCCAUCUCUAACGCGGUCAAAAGUUUAAAAUUGUGUAGAAAUUUCGAUAGCGUCCAACAGUCGAAAUGAAAAUUAAAGUUCAGAUGACAAUAAACAAUUGCGAAAUACUUUCGAUAGUAAUAUGCAUGUACAAUGUAGUUUAAAAACAGUUCCUUGAAUUUUACCGUUUUCUUUUGUUGACGAAAACUCCCAUGGUGAUUCAGUCUGAAUAUUAGUUAAAUCCAAAUUUAACUUUUGAAACAUCAAAAUUUUACAUAAAAUCCAAAAAUUGAUUCCAGUGUCAACUGCAUGGUACAGCUAAACUCCACUGAACGAAAAUGCCAAGAGUCCAACGUGGUCAAAAUGUUAUAAUGGCGCCGCCAGCCUCGUUGUCUAGACUUUCAGAAAGUUGAUGCUUCAUCUUUGGGGACAGCUCACAUAAAAUACAUAUAAAGGGGUCGUUUUGAAGUCCUCCACCAUAUUACGUACAUGGGGGGACAUAUAUACUUGCCUCCCCAUGCCGCUAAAGUUAUAUUUGCUUAAGAGCAACAAAAACACGUCUAUUUCCAUAGCACGUUUAUUUCAAAGAGACAGAUAACAUCACAUGACAAAUAUGCAUCAUUAUCAUACAAUGGGACGCAACUCUCACGACUUAACUACAAAACACAUACGACCAUACAAUACAGAUACAUAACACAU